AGAACAACCUACAGAUGCAUGAAACCAGCACCUUUGGGCUUGAAAACUAUAUAAAAAAGUGCAGCAAGUGUAUCUCUAAAAAUAUUUGUAUGAGGUCAAGUUGUGGAGUACAUCCUAGCACUCUUGGACUAAAAGAGCAUUCAGAUUAAUGGAAAAAUCUCCUUUGAGUAACAGGCAAGAUUUUGGAGCUAGUUAUCAAGAACUAUGCAGAUACAGAUGAAUGGACCCAUUAUCUACUUGGAACAGUCAAAUUAUAGAAGCUACUUGUCCACAAGUUUUGUUUUUUUUUCUUUAAG
rnacentral:sRNA from 1 species